GUAGGGUCAGCGACUGGGGUGAAGUCGUAACAAGGUAGCCGUAGGGGAACCUGCGGCUGGAUCACCUCCUUU
rnacentral:rRNA from 1 species